rnacentral:tRNA from 1 species
GGGGAGAUGGGUCAAUGGUUAAGAGCACUGACUGCUCUUCCAGAGGUCCUGAGUUCAAUUCCCAGCAACCACA